GCACCAGUAGCUCAGUGGUAGAGCGCAUCGGACUCGGCUGUAUGAGGUUAUCCCCCAGGGGUUGGUCUUGAACGGUUCGGGUUGGAGGUUUGGUACAUCAACGUAGGUUAUAGGUUUUCGCCACAACGAUGGUGUCGGAGAGAGGUACUGCCUCGCCUCUGACGCCAGGUCGAAAACGAUGAGACCUGAGUUCAAUUCUCAGCUGGUGCA